rnacentral:rRNA from 1 species
GACGAACGCUGGCGGCGCGCCUAACACAUGCAAGUCGAACGGAGCGCACGGGAAGAUUUCUUCGGAGAGAUUUUUGUGUUGCUUAGUGGCGAACGGGUGAGUAACGCGUGAAUAACCUACCCUCCGGUGGGGGACAACAUUCGGAAACGGAUGCUAAUACCGCAUAAGACCACGGUGCCGCAUGGCAGAGUGGCCAAAGGAGCAAUUUGCCGGGGGAUGGAUUCGCGCCCGAUUAGCUGGUUGGUGGGGUAAUGGCCCACCAAGGCGACGAUCGGUAGCCGGACUGAGAGGUUGAACGGCCACAUUGGGACUGAGACACGGCCCAGACUCCUACGGGAGGCAGCAGUGGGGAAUAUUGCACAAUGGGGGAAACCCUGAUGCAGCGACGCCGCGUGGAGGAAGAAGGUUUUCGGAUUGUAAACUCCUGUCUUCGGGGACGAUAGUGACGGUACCCGAGGAGGAAGCCACGGCUAACUACGUGCCAGCAGCCGCGGUAAAACGUAGGUGGCAAGCGUUGUCCGGAAUUACUGGGUGUAAAGGGAGCGCGGGCGGGCUGGUAAGUUGAAUGUGAAAACUAUGGGCUCAACCCAUAGACUGCGUUCAAAACUACUGGUCUUGAGUGAUGGAGAGGCAGGCGGAAUUCCCGGUGUAGCGGUGGAAUGCGUAGAUAUCGGGAGGAACACCAGUGGCGAAAGCGGCCUGCUGGACAUUAACUGACGCUGAGGCUCGAAAGUGUGGGGAGCAAACAGGAUUAGAUACCCUGGUAGUCCACACCGUAAACGAUGAUUACUAGGUGUAGGGGGAUAGACCCCCUCUGUGCCGCAGCAAACGCAAUAAGUAAUCCACCUGGGGAGUACGGCCGCAAGGCUGAAACUCAAAGGAAUUGACGGGGGCCCGCACAAGCAGUGGAGUAUGUGGUUUAAUUCGACGCAACGCGAAGAACCUUACCAGGUCUUGACAUCGCACGCAUAGCUUAGAGAUAUGUGAAACCCUUCGGGGCGUGCAGACAGGUGGUGCAUGGUUGUCGUCAGCUCGUGUCGUGAGAUGUUGGGUUAAGUCCCGCAACGAGCGCAACCCUUAUCGUUAGUUACUACGCAAGAGGACUCUAGCGAGACUGCCGUUGACAAAACGGAGGAAGGUGGGGAUGACGUCAAAUCAGCAUGCCCUUUAUGACCUGGGCCACACACGUACUACAAUGGCCGUCAACAGAGAGAAGCGAAGCCGCGAGGCGGAGCAAAACUCAGAAAAACGGUCUCAGUUCGGAUCGGAGGCUGCAACCCGCCUCCGUGAAGCCGGAAUUGCUAGUAAUCGCGGAUCAGCAUGCCGCGGUGAAUACGUUCCCGGGCCU